CCUUAGAUGUUCUGGGCCGCACGCGCGCUACACUGACAGAGCCAACGAGUAUAAACCUUAACCGAGAGGUUUGGGUAAUCUUGUUAAACUCUGUCGUGCUGGGGAUAGAGCAUUGCAAUUAUUGCUCUUCAACGAGGAAUAUCUAGUAAGCGCGAGUCAUCAGCUCGCGUUGAUUACGUCCCUGCCCUUUGUACACACCGCCCGUCGCUACUACCGAUUGAAUGGCUCAGUGAGGCCUUCGGAUUGGCUCAGGGAGGUCGGCAACGACCACCCAGAGCCGAAAAGUUGGUCAAACUUGGUCAUUUAGAGGAAGUAAAAGUCGUAACAAGGUUUCCGUAGGUGAACCUGCGGAAGGAUCAUUAUGAUAAAAACAAUUCUGUUGCCUUGUGCAAUAGUUAAACCCUUUGUGAACCAAAACCUUUAUUAGCUUCGGCAGCGUGCAAGCGGGUUCAGGCCUGUUUGUCUGUUAGCCUGCCGGCAGCACCAAACCAAACUUUUGUUUUAAAAUUUAGUCUGAACAAUCAUUUACGAAUGAAAAUUAAAACUUUCAACAACGGAUCUCUUGGUUCUCGCAUCGAUGAAGAACGCAGCGAAACGCGAUAGUUAAUGUGAAUUGCAGAAUUCAGUGAAUCAUCGAGUCUUUGAACGCACAUUGCGCCCUUUGGUAUUCCGAAGGGCAUGUCUGUUUGAGCGUCAUUACAACACCUCGUUAACAAUUAGUUUUGUGAACGGUUUUGAGCCCUGGUUUGUCAAGAACCUAGCUUUAAAGUUGAACGCUCUGCGGGUCACACUGCCAAACUAUACAUAGUAAAACUUAUUCUGUACGGUGAGAAAGUGAAGACUCUGCCUGAAAAAAACCCAUUUCUAAGGUUUGACCUCAGAUCAGACAAGGAUACCCGCUGAACUUAAGCAUAUCAAUAAGCGGAGGAAAAGAAACCAACAGGGAUUGCCUCAGUAACGGCGAGUGAAGCGGCAACAGCUCAAAUUUGAAAUCUCAGGUAUUCUACUUGCGAGUUGUAAUUUGAAGAGGAUGUUUCGGUUGUGACCUUGGCCUAAGUUCCUUGGAACAGGACGUCGUAGAGGGUGAGAAUCCCGUACACGGCUGUAGGUUUACUUCCAUGUGUAACUCCUUCGAAGAGUCGAGUUGUUUGGGAAUGCAGCUCAAAAUGGGUGGUAAAUUUCAUCUAAAGCUAAAUACUGGCGAGAGACCGAUAGCGCACAAGUAGAGUGAUCGAAAGAUGAAAAGCACUUUGAAAAGAGAGUUAAACAGUACGUGAAAUUGUUGAAAGGGAAGCGUUUGCAAUCAGACUUGCUUGCGGUUGAUCAACGUUCCUUCUGGUUCGUGCACUCUGCCGUUCGCAGGCCAGCAUCGGUUAGGACAGUGGGACAAAGACUCAAGGAAUGUGGCUCCCUCGGGAGUGUUAUAGCCUUGUGUGUAAUGCCACUUGACCUGACCGAGGUCCGCGCUUUUGCUAGGAUGCUGGCGUAAUGGUUGUAAACGGC
rnacentral:rRNA from 1 species